GAUGAACGCUGGCGGCGUGCUUAACACAUGCAAGUCGAACGGAGAAAGGGUAGCUUGCUAUCUUUUCUUAGUGGCGGACGGGUGAGUAACGCGUGGGUAACCUGCCCUUUGCAGGGGGAUAACAGUGAGAAAUCACUGCUAAUACCGCAUACCAACUUCUUUCGCAUGAAGGAAGUUUGAAAGAUUUAUCGGCAAAGGAUGGACCCGCGUUGGAUUAGCUAGUUGGUGAGAUAACAGCCCACCAAGGCAACGAUCCAUAGCCGGCCUGAGAGGGUGAACGGCCACACUGGGACUGAGACACGGCCCAGACUCCUACGGGAGGCAGCAGUGGGGAAUAUUGCACAAUGGGCGAAAGCCUGAUGCAGCGACGCCGCGUGAAGGAUGAAGGUCUUCGGAUUGUAAACUUCUAUCAGCAGGGAAGAAAGGGCUUAUAGCCUAUGACGGUACCUGACUAAGAAGCCCCGGCUAACUACGUGCCAGCAGCCGCGGUAAACAUA
rnacentral:rRNA from 1 species